rnacentral:rRNA from 1 species
GUGGGGAAUUUUGGACAAUGGGGGCAACCCUGAUCCAGCAAUGCAGCGUGCAGGAAGAAGGCCUUCGGGUUGUAAACUGCUUUUGUACGGAACGAAACGGUCCUGGUUAAUACCUGGGGCUAAUGACGGUACCGUAAGAAUAAGCACCGGCUAACUACGUGCCAGCAGCCGCGGUAAUACGUAGGGUGCAAGCGUUAAUCGGAAUUACUGGGCGUAAAGCGUGCGCAGGCGGUUUUGUAAGACAGGCGUGAAAUCCCCGGGCUCAACCUGGGAAUGGCGCUUGUGACUGCAAGGCUGGAGUGCGGCAGAGGGGGAUGGAAUUCCGCGUGUAGCAGUGAAAUGCGUAGAUAUGCGGAGGAACACCGAUGGCGAAGGCAAUCCCCUGGGCCUGCACUGACGCUCAUGCACGAAAGCGUGGGGAGCAAACAGGAUUAGAAACCCGGGUAGUCC